GACAGAGCGGUUGUCGAAGCCGGCCAAAAAUAACCUUUCUGGUUAUCAACAAUUUACAACUGCAGAUAGUGGUGAAAGGAUCGAAUCCACAGAGAAUUGAUUACCUAUUUAUUUUUCUCAACAAGACCAAUAAAAUUAACUAAAACAAUGAGAUAAACAAAAAAAUGAGAUAAAAACUGAAAGUGGGAUCAAAUGAGAUAAACUGAAAGCUGAAUAAAAAUAAAUUGCAGUAAAAGUAAAAUGGGGGGUUUUGAGAUUGAUUGUAGUAACUAAUAAUGAGAAUAAUAAUAGAAAGCAAAUAAUUAAGUAAAAAGUAAUUAAUAAUGAGAAAGCUCUAGUUGAAAUAUUGGAUCAACUUUAGUUGUUGGGGUUGAUCACAGACACUUUGCUCUUUUGGGUUGACCCAAUAGAUUAGUUAUGGAGAUGGAAGACGCUUCUCACCACCAUUAUCUCUCCUUAGGAAUAAAUUAAUUAGGUAACGUCCUCUAAUUAAUUACUAAUUAACAAAUUGCCAAGGAACGUCCUUGGGCUUUAGGCAUCAAAACAAUUGUCAAUUGCAUUAAGAAAGAGAGACCCAAUCCUAGCUACCCAAACGUAUGGAGAUAACGCUAGAUCAUGCAAUUUUCUUGGAUUCUAUCCCAAGUGUCCUCAUGUAAGAAUAACCCAAGCAAUUACGGACUUAAAUUAUUCAAACUAAUGAAUAAUUAUUUUGCAAUAAAAAAAAUCAACGUAGAUUUCAAUUACAAAAUAAUAUGAAGAUUAAAUAUGAAAUUGCAUAAAUAUUGAAUUCCCAAAAAUUAAAUAAUAUUUGAUCAAGUCUCACAACCCAUUAACCAACUAAAGUUUCAACCAAUAUUCAACUAAAUGAAGAAAUUAGCCACUCAUUGGCUAAAUUAAAAAUAGAAAAUAAAUAAAGGGGAAAAGAAAAUAAAAACCGAAAAUCUGGAAUUCUUCUGCCCAGCUGCGGAACUUGCCAAAGGAAAGGAAUUCUCCGUUCUCCGUUCUCCCCAAUUCGGCCACUGAAGGCUCUAUUUAUAAGUGCAGAGGAGGUGUGCUAUUUAGGAAAAUUGCUUGCCUGGGAGUGAAUCGGGUGCGCGAAUGUCCACGUGAAGCUGGGGUGUGGAGCAUGGGUUGAAGGCGCGGGUCUUGCGCGCGGGUGGAUCCUCGUCUAUGUGAAGGAGUGGCGACGUCCACGGGCUGUCUGUGUGCAUGGGACUGGGCUGCCAGGUGUGCGAAGGUUGCGUGAAGGGAUGCACGGGCCCAUGCUGGUGGAGUGACGUGAGGCGCUUUGGCGGUGCGGGCCACGGCGAAGUGGACGUGUGGAGCGCGGCCCAUGUGAUGGUGUGGAGAAGGCGCGGGAGCUUGCAUGGAGCGGUCCACGUGCUUGUUGGUGGGUCCGUCGCGUGAGAUGCGCUUGGCCCACGUGAAGUGAAGUGUAGGAUUGUGUUGUGUGGGCCACGGUGGAGUGAGUUGCUGAAACACGGUCCAUGUGAGAGAAUGGCUUCAGCCCAAGCGUGUUGGCGGAAUGGGCCGUCCGUUUCCUCUUGUGCGGGGCGUGGGCCUGUGCGUUGGUGGGCUGUCCAAGCUUGAAUAUUUAAGCCUCAAAUUAUUUUUCUUUUAUUUAGCUUGAAUCCAGUUUUGCAGGUUUACUCUAUUUUGCUCCAAAUAAGGCAGUUUUAGGGGGAUUUUCUCCAAAAUAUCCUUUUACACCAUUUUCUGCAAAAUAAUAUUAAAAACAAUAAAUUAAGCAGAAAUUAUAUAAAUAUUUAUCAAUAAUAUUAAUAUAAAAUGGACUAAAUUAUGCUCUAUCAAAUACCCCCACACUUAACCUUUUGCUUGUCCUCAAGCAAAUAAACAUAGUCAAAUAAGCUUUCUCACUCUAGAUCCUUAUUUCCACUUAAGCUCUUACUCUAGAUACCUAUUUUGAAGCAUUGCAGUGAAGAAUAUAUGCAUGAAGAUUACUCACCUCCUUUCCUCGUUUCUCUUUGCUUACCAUGGCUAGGAUUUGUUUUCCUCAAGAGAGACCAUACAUGCACAUUAUUUGUUAAGACUUUUUCCAGCUUUUGGUGUGACUUGCCCUUACCUUGAAGUACUUUAUUCAGGCUUUUGCACUUUAGAUCUUGGAAAGGUCACCAACCUAUUUUUGAUGUAACACUUUUUGAUAUUUCAGUUGGUCACCUAUCCAAGUGGCCACUAGCUCUGUUCAUAGUCUUUCGACCAUUGGAACAAUCUUAGAUUUGUGCUUUUGAGGUCUUUGCCUUUGCUGAAUUUUCUUUCUCUCAAUGAUUUGGGCAAAUCAACACCUAUUGCUAAAGCAAGUCACUUUAAGUUCAUUCACACAAAUUUCAGAUUUUUCUCAUCAAUUGAGGGGCAUCAAUAUAUUUUUCACCAUGGCAAACUCAAAGAUUCAAUUCAAAAGGCAAUUCUCAAACAUGAAUAUAACCCACUGCAAGUGAUUCAACAUAAGUUUAAAGAGUCAUAACAUCAAUGGGGUCAUGGAAGGAAAGACUCAUUCAACAAAGUUCAUCAGUUUGAGUAGAACAAAACAAAAAAGAAGAAGAUGGUUGUGGUUGUGUGUGUUUUAUUGAAAGCAUAAAAAUAACAAAAAUGAAAAAUUUUUCCUAAUGCAAGCAAACUAAAGAUUAAAGCAAAAAUAAACUUAAAAGUAAAAAUUCAGAGUUAUGCACCCCCACACCUAAAUCAUGCAUUGUCCUCAAUGUAUAAGAAACAUAAAAGGACAAAGGAAACUGAGUACUCCCCUGGGUGUGGUGUGCAUGGCGAUCCACUUGAUCAAGACUCAAGUAAUUGGAGAAGGAAAAAGAGUCCCAACUGCAUUGAGCAAAAAGUGUAGUACUCCUUUUGAUUUUGUCAUAGCCCAUCCUACUUUUUCCAUGUAUUCAUGAAGUAACAUGAUUAGCUUUUGCUCUUUCAGAUGAGGUGUGCCUCUAGCUCUCAUAUUUGCUUUUUUGAGAUGAUUGGGAAACACUACGAACUCCAAUUCAUGUUUCUCCAUGUGUAGCUGCAAUUUAGUGCUAAAAUCUGGCGAAACAAACUCUACCUUAUCUGGAGGUUUGGGAAAGCAUUGAUCUGCAUGCUCCUUUGGUUUAGGUGCUUGGAACACCAUUUCUUCAUUGUGAGCAUGGGCUGUUUGCAUUGGAUCUAUGGCUGAAUUGAUUUCAGAUUGCUCCUUUUGCGCAAAAUCUGACUGAAAGGGGAGCUGAAGAGUAGUCGGAUUCGGCGUCUGAAAGGCAGUGAUGUUCGGCGGCCGAAGGAUGUCUGUAUUCGGCGGCCGAAGGUCUUCAGUAUGCGGAACAGGCUGUGGCGAGGGAUUCGACGUCGGCAGGUCAUUCAAGUUCGGCGGCCGAAGGAUGUUCGGCGGCCGAAGAGCGUCUUCUGUCUGCGCAAUGUGUUCUUGAAGUGGUGCAACAGAAUGAGAUAUUUGAAGCUCAGUGGGGUUCGGCGGCCGAAAGUGGUCUGUGUUCGGCGGCCGAAUGUCUUCUGUCUGCCCAACUUCAAUCUGCUGGAUGUUGCAGAUGGUUUCUUUCAAUUCUGGCUCUUUCUGACUUUCAUCAUCUUCUUGGCUAGCCUCCCUACAUGAAUCAUUGGUUAGAAUAUCAUCUUUUAUAUCAAAAAUACCUUUGCUCAGACAAUCAAUGAUAUUUUAAUUAUCAACAAGUUAUGUUUGAUCCGUUGGUUGGGACAAACAGUAUUCUGGUUGUGUUUCUUCAGCAACUCGAUCUUGCACUUGCCAACUUUCAUCAUCUAUCUCUUCAGCUUGAAGCUCUUCCUCUUUUCUUACCAUGUCUGCUCUCCAUUUGGCAGCUAUUCGAUCAGUUUCCUGUUGGACAUAUUGCAAAGUCUCCGUCAUCUCAUAAAGAUCAAUUCUGUGACUUUGAGGUAUUGCUUCAGCUUGAUAGUUUUUGUCAUAGCCAUAAUUCGGAUGAUCUCCCCAACAUGGAUUGUAAGUGUCAAGGCGGAGUUGUUGUUCUUCAAAAGCUCGUUCAGCUUGGUCUAUAAUAAAACUUUUUGCAGCAUCGAUUUUUUCAUAAAGUUGACAAAGGAAAAAAGGUAUACUUACCUCGUCCAUGAUUCAGAUAUGGUCAUGAAAGAAAAAUAAACAAGUAAAAUCAAUUCCCCGGCAACGGCGCCAAUUUUUGACAGAGCGGUUGUCGAAGCCGGCCAAAAAUAACCUUUCUAGUUAUCAACAAUUUACAACUGCAGAUAGUGGUGAAAGGAUCGAAUCCACAGAGAAUUGAUUACCUAUUUAUUUUUCUCAACAAGACCAAUAAAAUUAACUGAAACAAUGAGAUAAACAAAAAAAUGAGAUAAAAACUGAAAGUGGGAUCAAAUGAGAUAAACUGAAAGCUGAAU
rnacentral:lncRNA from 1 species